GGCGGUGGGGAGCGGCGGCCGCUGCCGUUGUGUGCGGGGGGAAGUCUCGCCUCGGCUCUCGGUGCUGCCUGGUUAUCCUGCUGUUUACUUAUACGCUUCAUAAACACUCCUAUUCUUUUCCUCCUGCCAGAAUUGAGAGCUCCAGUCUCAGCAGCGGAAAUGAUUGCGGACCCUCGCAUUCAUUCGCACAGUAGUUCCAACCGUGUAACGCGGCACAGAUGGCGGAGGAUAUCUUUGGAUUUCCUGGUCACUUCAGUCUGCAUAUUUCUCUGGCAAAGGGUCGUCGUUGAACGGAGCUUCCCCUACAAAGAAAAUCACCGUGCAAAACCUCUCAACUCAACACAUCAAAGAGACACAUGCACCUGCGAAUAAAUCACAGCAAAUGGUAAGAAUCCAGACUAGGGCCUCCUAACACCAAAGAGGUUUUGAUAUUCCACCAAGUAACUGUAUUUACAUAUACUUGCGUGUUUUUGCCUCUGCAUGAUGGAACACGCGUACAUCUCGCCCCAACAUGGCGCCGUGCAGUGCUGCGCCGUGAUUGACACACCACUUCAGCGUGCUCCCUCGCUCCCCUGUGAAGUAUUAAAAGCCUCAGUGAGAUUCUGACAGAGCUAAUGAGUGUUUCUGAUUAUGGAGUGUCGGUGCGGAGGAGUUGCUCAAGUUGUGGCAAGUCCAGAGGAAAGUGUAGUCUGCAAAGCUUGCACCCACAGGGGACCGAGGUGGCAGACAACCCAGGGCGAGACCAGACAGAACACAACUGUCAAACACAAGCACAGGUGUUUUUCAUUAAUAAUCACCUCCUGUCACCACAACUGCAUGUCCUGAAAAAGGGCAGACAAAGAAAACAUGCAUAGCAGCCUCCAACAAAGGGUUAAACUGGAGCACCUGCUUUGUUCCUGUGUUAUCAAAAGGUAUGGCCAUUACAAGCCAGUCGCCCUGCAGCUCAGUGUCAGUCGUGCACCUGCAGGCAACAAUGUGCGAAGCAAUCUCAAAGUGAAAUCACAAAGGGGGUGACAGCUCCAGAUGGAUGUCUCGCAGCUUUUCUGUCUCUUGCUAUAUAUAAAAACUCAGAGAUGUAUGUCACCUUUUUAAAAAAAAGUGAAACAAACUCCUACAAGGUCACCGGCGCUGCAUGCGGAUCAGCUAAUUACUAAGGCUGAAAGAAACACUUGUGAGAAAAAAAAAGGGAAAAAAAAAAACAUCUCCCCGGUGGGUACUUUAAGAAAAGAAAGCAGCUGGUCAGAAUGUGCUCUGGAGAAAACAUCAGCUAUUGGAGAGAGUGGUCAGGGGAGACUCUUCUCUUAAGUGCUUUUCUCAGAGCAGUGCUGCUCUCUGUUAUUCACUCCCACGCUUUCUCUUCUCUUGUAUGGGCGGCACACACACACACACACACACACGUAUCCUUCCCUUUCAUCCCCAGGGGUGAAACAAACCCAUGCAUUAUGACUCAAAUCAAGCUUAAUUUAUUUCACAUGCUCUAAUUUAAUGUCUUCAUGUUGAUAUGCAUUGAACAAAAAAUAGCCGGAUUGUUUUUUUGUUUUUUUCUAAUUAUUUUCUCCCCUCUGCAUUUC